AUAUUGGUCAAUGGAGGCAACUCUGAACCAGCCAUGCCGCGUGCAGGAAGACGGCCCUACGGGUUGUAAACUGCUUUUAUUCGGGAAUAAACCUUUCUACGUGUAGGAAGCUGAAUGUACCGAAGGAAUAAGGAUCGGCUAACUCCGUGCCAGCAGCCGCGGUAAUACGGAGGAUCCAAGCGUUAUCCGGAUUUAUUGGGUUUAAAGGGUGCGUAGGCGGCUUAUUAAGUCAGGGGUGAAAGACGGUGGCUCAACCAUCGCAGUGCCUUUGAUACUGAUGAGCUUGAAUACACUUGAGGUAGGCGGAAUGUGACAAGUAGCGGUGAAAUGCAUAGAUAUGUCACAGAACACCAAUUGCGAAGGCAGCUUACUAAGGUGUUAUUGACGCUGAGGCACGAAAGCGUGGGGAUCAAACAGG
rnacentral:rRNA from 1 species